CUACGGGUGGCACCAGUGGGGAAUAUUGCACAAUGGGGGAAACCCUGAUGCAGCAACGCCGCGUGGAGGAUGACGCAUUUCGGUGUGUAAACUCCUUUUAUAUAGGAAGAUAAUGACGGUACUAUAUGAAUAAGCACCGGCUAACUCCGUGCCAGCAGCCGCGGUAAUACGGAGGGUGCAAGCGUUACUCGGAAUCACUGGGCGUAAAGCGCGCGCAGGCGGCCUUUUAAGUUGGAUGUGAAAGCCUAUGGCUUAACCAUAGAACUGCAUCCAAAACUAUCAGGCUAGAGUCUGGGAGGGGAAGAUGGAAUUAGUUGUGUAGGGGUAAAAUCCGUAGAGAUAACUAGGAAUACCAAAAGCGAAGGCGAUCUUCUGGAACAGUACUGACGCUGAGGCGCGAAAGCGUGGGGAGCAAAUAGGAUUAGAUACCCCUGUAGUC
rnacentral:rRNA from 1 species